rnacentral:rRNA from 1 species
GGGUGCGAUCAUACUAGCACUAAUGCACCAGAUUCCAUCAGAACUCCGCAGUUAAGCAUGCUUGGGCGAGAAUAGUUCUAAGAUGGGCUUGUCAUAUGACUUUCA